rnacentral:rRNA from 1 species
GACGAACCGUGCGAACGUUGUUCGGAAUCACUGGGCUUAAAGGGCGCGUAGGCGGGUUCUCAAGUCAGGGGUGAAAUCUUUCAGCUUAACUGGAAAAGUGCCCCUGAUACUGAGAGUCUCGAGGGAGGUAGGGGCAUGUGGAACUAAUGGUGGAGCGGUGAAAUGCGUAGAUAUCAUUAGGAACGCCGGUGGCGAAAGCGACGUGCUGGACCUCUUCUGACGCUGAGGCGCGAAAGCUAGGGGAGCAAACGGG